CCUACGGGAGGCAGCAGUUAGGAAUAUUGGACAAUGGGCGAAAGCCUGAUCCAGCCAUGCCGCGUGUGUGAUGAAGGCCCUAGGGUUGUAAAGCACUUUCGUUGGGGAUGAUAAUGACCGUACCCAAAGAAGAAGCACCGGCUAACUUCGUGCCAGCAGCCGCGGUAAUACGAAGGGUGCAAGCGUUGUUCGGAAUCACUGGGCGUAAAGAAUGCGUAGGCGGCUUAACAAGUCGGGAGUGAAAUCCCAGGGCUCAACCCUGGAACUGCUCUCGAGACUGUUUUGCUAGAGUCCCGGAGGGGUUAGCGGAAUUCCGAGUGUAGAGGUGAAAUUCGCAGAUAUUCGGAGGAACACCAGUGGCGAAGGCGGCUAACUGGACGGGAACUGACGCUGAGGCAUGAAAGUGUGGGGAUCAAACAGGAUUAGAUACCCUGGUAGUCCACACCGUAAACGAUGUGUGCUAGUUGUCGGGCAGCUUUGCUGUUCGGUGACGGAGCUAACGUUUUAAGCACACCGCCUGGGAAGUACGGCCGCAAGGUUAAAACUUAAAUGAAUUGACGGNNGNGAGNGCGAGACGACGACGAGGGAGUAGG
rnacentral:rRNA from 1 species